rnacentral:rRNA from 1 species
GAUGAACGCUGGCGGCGUGCCUAAUACAUGCAAGUCGAGCGAACAGACGAGGAGCUUGCUCCUCUGACGUUAGCGGCGGACGGGUGAGUAACACGUGUAUAACCUACCUAUCAGACUGGGAUAACUUCGGGACACCGGAGCUAAUACCGGAUAAUAUAUUGAACCGCAUGGUUCAAUAGUGAAAGACGGUUUUGCUGUCACUUCUAGAUGGAUCCGCGCCGCAUUAGCUAGUUGGUAAGGUAACGGCUUACCAAGGCAACGAUGCGUAGCCGACCUGAGAGGGUGGUAGGCCACAUGGGAACGGAGACAGGGUCAAGGCUCCUACGGGAGGCAGCAGUAGGGAAUCUGCCGCAGUGGGCGAAAGCCUGACGGAGCAACGCCGCGUGAGUGAUGAAGGUCUUCGGAUCGUAAAACUCUGUUAUUAGUGAAGAACAAAUGUGUAAGUAACUAUGCACGUCUUGACGGUACCUAAUCAGAAAGCCACGGCUAACUACGUG